rnacentral:sRNA from 1 species
UACAGGUUGACGAGUAACGGGGUGCUC